GCCACUCUUUCUGACAGUUCUGGGCUCGCUCAGGGAUCACCUGGGGGUCUUAAAAGCUGGGCGGAAUCUCCUCAAAGCUAAACCAUUGAAAACAAUGUAGGAAAACAUGGAGGAGAAUGGGUAUGAGCUUCUUCCACGUGGGCGAAACAAGACAGUCAAGACGGGCACGAAUCAAGUUUUAAAAUCGGGUCUACCAGAUUUCGAUGUCUUUAUGACACAUUCUAUUACUCAACUUUGGAAAAGAAUAUCUUGAGUCGUGUGAAUAAGCCUAGUACUUGCAUUUUGAAUGGGUCAUUCCUUUGGUGUUUACAGUUAAGAAACAAUGGAGAUACCAAACAAGAUAAGACUAAGCCACAGAGAUAUCUGAAAAGCUGCCAUCAAUCAAACCUCUUUGUGAAGCCGGUUAGUGCAGCUUCCAUUGUUCUAAGCAGCAGGCAAAAGGAACAAAUAAAAUCCAGCUGUUUCUUCACUGUGGCACCAGAAAAUCCCUCCAAAACCCCCCAAGGUGAACCUCACGUCAACCAAAACCAAGACAUGAGCCAGAGCCUAAACAGAGGAAAGAAAACAGAAGAGAGGAUUCUAGUGAUGUAUCUGGUCAUCAUUCCAAGCAACCAAGCUGAACUUUUGCACUGACAAACAAUUUUUUCCAGAGCAUUUUAAAAUUUACAGAAUUCAACCCUGUCAACAAGACGGAGGGUCUCCCAAAUGCUGCAAUCUGCUCCGUGCUCUGUGCUGCUCUGCUGGGCUGUCACAACUGCUCCCUGUGCGUUUCUGCAG
rnacentral:lncRNA from 1 species